UACGUAGGUGGCAAGCGUUGUCCGGAUUUACUGGGCGUAAAGGGUGCGUAGGCGGUCUGCUAAGUUUGAUGUGAAAUCCCGGGGCUCAACCCUGGAAUUGCAUUGAAUACUGGUGGACUAGAGUACUGGAGAGGAAACUGGAAUUUACGGUGUAGCAGUGAAAUGCGUAGAGAUCGUAAGGAAGACCAGUGGCGAAGGCGAGUUUCUGGACAGUAACUGACGCUGAGGCACGAAGGCCAGGGGAGCAAACGGG
rnacentral:rRNA from 1 species